GAAAUUGGAAAAUUUGAGAGAAACAGAUGAUGAAGAAGCAUAGAAACUAAAAACAAAAUAAGUUCUCUGACUCUUUGCAUCACAAAAAAGGUCUUCUAUCUAUCCAUGCGGGUAAUAGCUGUUGCCCACUAAGUAAUGGCCAAUAACUGCCAUUACCAUUACAUUUUUUCCGCCGUUAGUAAUGUUACCGCAAAAGACCUUUAAUUAAUGGCUGUUGUUCAAAACCAUGCCUUUGAUGCAAUUCCAGAUUAUAGCUAUCUCAUGGUAGAUAAAGUUGCACUAGAAUAAAGCUAAUAAACUCAAAAAGCAAUCUCCUUCCAUCAUACUACAUAAGGCCAAUACAGAUACCAAAUAAAAAAGAAAAAUUUAAAAGCUCAAAUACACAAAUUGUCUUCUAGACGCACAAUCAAAGCCGUCAUUUUCCAGGAAUAGGAAUUGUUCAAAAUUGAAAAAGGAAGAAAUAUUCACUCACAGAAAAACAGAUACUAUGAAAUUUGCAAAAAGCCGCAUCCAGAUAUAGAAGGAUAAUGCAAUAUCAAUUCAAAUGGCUCCACCACUUGAAUUAGAGAUGUUGAUUGCCUUAUUAAAAGUGUCUGGAAUAAAUUAAAAGGCCUUAUCCCUCAGGAUUGAGAACUCAAGAACAUGAUAAAAAAGGCCAACUCACCAUUGGAAUAGAAGCUAAAGUAAUUUUAAGAGUAAAGUUUCUCUAAGAAAAAAAAUAAAAAGCAGGGCAUCCAUGCAUACAUCUAUGCUUACACACAACCCAAAGAAAAGAAACUU
rnacentral:misc_RNA from 1 species